rnacentral:sRNA from 1 species
AACCAUCGAAGCGGCGCACUCCUCCUCCCAGUGCCGCCCGAUUGGAUCGGCAACUCCUCCUCCUCCCAAUUGCCGAUCAAGUUUAAGAGCCUGGCGCAUCCUCCUCCCGCGCCAGGCUCUUUCC